rnacentral:rRNA from 1 species
CUGCCUCGCUCGCUUCCUCUCCUUCGGCAGCCGCCUCCCUCCCUCCCUCCCACUCACCGCCGAUCCCGUCCCUCCUAUCCUCCCUGUUCAUCCAUAGCCCGGCGUGACCAGUGCUCGAUGAGGCGAGGGAGAGUGACCAAUCCCCGUCACGCCAAUCUCCCGUACACCCCCUGCCAUCGCGCCGCUGCCGUCGCUGCCGCUUGCCAUCCCCAGCGUCUCCUCCCCACACCCAAGGCCUCCCCUUGCUCCGCCUCUUCCUCCCAUCUCGCCAGAACCACAGCACAGGACCUCCCACGCUCGCUCGCGAGGCUGGGCAUCGCCUUCAUCGCCGGCGUGGCUCCGGCGGACUCUGGCGGCUCCUCUCCAUCUCCUCCCUCGCCCCCACAUGUGUGGUUCCGCUUCCGCUCGCCAUGGGGUGCAGCCUUGCAGGGGCGCAUCGGGCUGGGCCUCCUCUGUUUCAGAUGAGUUCAUCCCCAUCCUCCUCCUCCCCCUCCUCUCUGAUCUGCUCUACCUCUCACCCUCUAUUGUCCUUCCUUCUCUCUUAAUUUGGUGCAGCAGCCGCUGUCGGUCAAGUUCUUGGUGGAGAUGCAGCUGAUGCUCAAAGUGAUUCAUCAGGGAGGACCUCCGCCAGUAGAGGGAUGGCUUCUGUCCAAAGGCUCAGGUAUUGUUAUUGAACUACAAGAUAAUGUUGUUGGUCUUCCCAGAACAAAAAAAGUGUUUUUGACACUACCAUCGAUGGGGUCUUCAGCGCUUUAACCAUUGAAGUGUAAACUGCUAGCAGAGCUACACUGCGGACUACAGAGUUGAUCUGAAUCUCUGCUAUUGUAAGGUGUGCUGCUUCUACUUGAAUAAAAGCUGAUAUUGCCAUGAUCCUUAGUCAUGUGUUCUUAAAAGAAAGGGUUUUGCAUGGACAGAUGGAAUCAAAAAUCUUGGGAACCUGAUAGCAUUCAUUUUUUUAUCCUGGGUGCUGCUAGAUCCUGUGUAACUGGAUGUUCUUUUCGAUGUAAGCGGAACCAUGCCCAUGCGACGGUACUGAACAAAGUUGCGCACAUGGUUGUGGACUCUGGACACUCUACACAAAAGAAAUUUGUAUAAAUGUACAACGCUCUGUUUGAAGCCUCCUCAUAUGAUAUUGGAAGGAACUCGAGCGGAAGGCCGCCGGCGGAGCCUGUAUCAGAGGACAUGGAAGAAAUUAGCCCAAGCCCAAUGAAACUUCUCUCUGAAGCAAUGCCUAUUUAUUGCUUUUGUGUUGGUACUUUCAGUUCUUUGAGAUUCCCAUUUGUGCAAAAACAUCAGUGAUGUGGCAGAGAAGGUGGAUUGUAGCAGCAAUGUGAAACAAUUGGAUGCUUGGUGGAUUUGAAUGGGGUUCAUUGUAGGCGAGUGCAUGAAUUUGCGGACUCACAUGCAUCAUUAGCAUCCCUUAUCUACUCACCCAUUAGUUCAAUGUAUUCUUCCUGAGAACUAUGCUUGGAUAGCUGAAUCUAUUAUUUUGAACUACUGAACCUUUGCACUUUUGUUGUGACAUACUGAAACUUUGCACCAUUGUUUUUAAUUGUAUAA